rnacentral:rRNA from 1 species
UGUAAGCGUGUACCAAAGUUGUUGCAGUUAAAACGCUCGUAGUCGGAAUUUGGCAGUUCCGGAAGUGUGCACGUCGUGUGCGCACUUCGCGGGGACUGCUUUUGUGGUCUUGCGUAGGAUGAGGCACUUUCAUUAGUGAACGUCCUCACGCAACCACUCUUUACUGUGAGAAAAUCAGAGUGCUCAAAGCAGGCAUUUGCCGUGAAUGUAUUAGCAUGGAAUAAUAGAAUAGGACUCGGUUCUAUUUUGUUGGUUUGUUGGGACUGAGUAAUGAUUAAGAGGGACAGUUGGGGGCAUUUGUAUUCCGGCGCUAGAGGUGAAAUUCUUAGAUUGCCGGAAGACAAACUGCUGCGAAAGCGUCUGCCAAGGAUGUUUUCAUUGA